rnacentral:lncRNA from 1 species
GGAGCCGGGGGACUGGAGGGGUCUGGGCGAAGGGGGUCACGGCCUGGGGGACGCAGCGGGCAGUCCUCGGAGUCCAGGACUGCCGGCACCUGCUGAGCGCGGCUUGAAGACCCCUGACGGUACGGCGUUGCGGCGCCAAGGGCUGUGUCCCGCUCUCGGGUUCCCGCCGGAGAGGGUGGGAACCCCCUUCCAGGCCCCCCACCCCUUGUUUCUCUCCUCCUCUGUUUAGCCCAGAACCGAGCUGAGGACGAGAGGGAACCAUCUGCAAAAAAAGAACCCCAAAGCAGGGCGGGUGGCGGGGGCAGAUCCAGACCAGCGGAGACCCCAGCAAGCUGGUUCACUGUGGACCAACUCUGCGCCUGUGCGGGCAUCCCCAGUGCUUCUAGAAUGGGGGCGCCCAAGGAAGAAGGCAGGCUGUGAGAAUCUGGGUACCACCAAGGCGGUCUCAAGGAGAAGCGCGGGGGCUGGGGAACGGGAGGAUUAAAGCCAGCAUCCACGCUGGGAAAGGAGCGGGCACCGCAGAAGGAGGGAAAAAAAAAAAAUCUCCUUGACGCUGUCACCUCCAGGGACCUAAGGUGGCCUCUUGCUCACCUUGGAGAAUAACAAUCUCUGAUGUCUGGCAAUAACAGAAAUGCUUCCAGUGGUCUUCUUUCGUCCAUCCUGACAAUGACCAGGGAAGAUUUCUCACCCACUCUGACAGCCUCCGAGCAAGGUCCCUGCUGGGCAACACUGAUGAAGUCCGUGCCGCGCUGGACCUGAUGGGGAUAAAAUGAUGGUUCUCUUCAAAAACUCUCGUUCAGGGAGUCCCCAUCGUGGCGCAGCGGAAACGAAUCCGACUAGGAACCAUGAGGUUGUGGGUUCGAUCCCUGGCCUCGCUCAGUGGGUUAAGAAUCCAGCGUUGCCGUGAGCUGUGGGGAGCUCAGAUCUGGCGUGGCUGUGGCUGUGGCUGUGGUGCAGGCUGGCAGGUGCAAUUCCAAUUCAACCCUUGGCCUGGGAACUUCAAUAUGCCGUGAGUGCAGCCCUUAAAAAAAAAAAAAAAA